ACAUUCAAUCCUCGAGGCAGAACAGCGUUCACCUCUCUUCUCUCUAAUGCACAACGGCAUACUCCUUGGGUUUACACAGAACAUUUAAAAAGAAGCGCAAAUGAAAACAAAACACAUCUGUGGAAUUCAGUCUGUGUCCGCGUCUCAGUGUCCACCCCAAGGGACGUCUUAGGAUCCAUUAAGCAAUUUCGCAUGAGCCAAGAGUGGUGGGGAAUUACCAUGGGCGCAGCUAAAUCGCUGUGGGGGGAAAAACUAAUAAACCACAGGGCAAGUUCUGCCCUUGCUGGGAAAUAUGCUCAAUCUCUCUUUCUC